rnacentral:lncRNA from 1 species
CCACAACCAAGCCCAGGGGCCGAGGCAGCCCACCUCAGGGCCAGGGGUCGGGAUGAACUGCAGCCGGCUGACAGUGGAAGGUCCAGGUACCAAUCCCCAGCCCUGCUGGGCUUUGUUCCACCCAGCAAUCAAGACAGACACCUUGCCAAUCCCGCUGCAAGAGAGGGAGCCGCACAGGAGGCAAGUGGAGAGAUGAGUCCACGGCCCCUCUGCUUGGCCCUGCCUGCGAUCGCCUGGCCUAGCAGAGCCGCUCCAGCCAAGACAGACUGCUGCCUGACGUGCGGUGGCUGACAGCCCCUCCUGGCCCUGGUCCAGGGGUCACAGCGCUGGAGACACAGAGGCGAGCGAGCCGGGGGUGGAGGAGAGGCCCCCCCCUGAGGUGGCUGGGUGGUUGCACGCACUGAACUCUGACUGCGAGAAAAGGCUGGCCUUCAAGACAUGCCACUGGAUUUGGAGGGCAGGCGAGAAGACCAGAGAGGUGUCGCCAGAAGACACAGGCUCCACAGGCCUGUCUCCCCCCCAUGAUGACUCUCAGGAAUGUUGGAGACGUUGCCUCACAAGGAUCACCAAGGGAGCUUGGAGAAAGGUCCUGCAGUCCUGGGCAGGCAGCCCUCUGCUGGUGACCAUGGUGGCCGUCGCUGCAGGGAGCUGGGCUGGAGCCUCCUGGGGGCCUGGUACAACCAGAUACAUCUCAGCAGUUCUCAUCGACUCCUGGCGGCCACAGGCUGGGGAGGCCCCAGCUGGACACUGUGUCUGCCAGCACCCCCACCGCAGCCUGCCCCUGCUUCUCCUUGCAGACUAUCCAAGAAGAAAUGAAGCUUUUGUCUUCAGGGAGCCUGGGCAGAGGCAAAAUAAAAGCAAGAAGCACCUAGACAAGCCUGAUAUGCAGGAAGCGACACUGGAGUUCUCUGCCUGGCACUGAGUGACCGCCCUGCUCCUGAGCAGUGGGUUUACAUGAGCACGUGAUGCCUCUGGGAAACCAGGGAGGGACUGGUCUGGAUGGCGCCGGCUCUGGCUCCCUUGGGAAACCUCCCAGGAGUGAGGCCCUAAAAUCGGCCUGGCCCUUCAUCCCUGCUCACUAGAAAGACAAAGCUCAAACCCUGAAAGAUGAGGAAUUGAAAAUUCAAUUGCUCUGCUUCACACUUUUUGAUGAUAAAAAGGAGGAAGGGAUGGUUCCUUCCCAGUGGCAGAAUGAUCCUUUCGUGAAGUUCUGUAGAGUUGUUCUCUUUGUAAUUCGCUCACCUUGGCACCUCACUGAAGUCUGUCGGGAGGGGUCACCCACCCCGACUGGCAACUGCCGUGAGGCUUGUCUCAGCCCUCCUUGCCUCCCCUCCUGCUGUCCAGGUUUGCAGGCCACGUGGCACAGCCAUUGUCCUGAGUGAGAGAAGCGAGUGUUUUUCUCCUGCCACCCCUCCCCUCUGUGUCCAAAGGCAGGCUCCCCUCUGCACACUCACGUGUAACUCAGCGCUGCAGAGCCCCAGCGCAGCUCCGGGAGCAGGUCCUGGGAGGGGGGUUCAAAGGAAGAGCUGGGGCAGAGGAGGUAGAGGCAGGGGCAGCCCGGCAAACCCUGCCCUUGACUUGCUCACCCAAUGCCAAGGUCACAGGGCUACUCAGAGCAAGGGACCGGGCGGGGCUGUGUGCCCUCUGGGAAGAGGUGGUGGCAGGGUGACCGAGAACUCCCUGUGUGGGGAGGGACCCACCAGGGAAUGUCUUGAGUGGCCAGGGAUGAUAACCAAAAACAGAAGUAAACCAACGAGAAGACAGAAUAUAUAAUUACCUUUUUCUGAAAGGUCCAAGAAAUAAAUCUCUAAGCAACGAUGGAAAACUGGAGGUGGUGAUGGAGGGGGAAGCGGGGCUCCAUUAUCUUUUAGAAGCUUCCUCCAAAUGCUCAGUACUGGGACCAAGUAAAUAGAGGUAGAUUUUAAUAAGGUGGUUUUGUUUUGUUUUUGUUCUUACUAAGGUGCUGAUGUACAUGUAAUGUCUAAAAAAAAAAAAGUUAUUUGUAAAUAAGUUUUUACAAUACUUCAGAUAUCACUGGGUCUACUAUCUGUAAAAAAAAUAUAUAUACAUAUAAAUAUAUAUAUACCGUUUGUUUAAAAUAGAGUAUUUUUAUUUCAUUCCUUAACUCAUCAUCCCAGCAGUGGUAUUUGCACUUCAGAGGACAUCGAAUUACUAAUUUGUACUGGAUGACCUACGGCAACUUCCCCCAUUUUCUUCAGAUUUUUCUAGUUAUCUGUUUUUACUUUGUACAUUGAGCAUCGCUUAUUUCCUUUUAAGAAAUGUACAGAACUGAAGUGUAGAAAUGAAGUGAUGUUGACCUACCACUUUUAAAGAAAAACAAAAAAACAAAUAAAAGAUCAUUAUCUGAAC